UGGGGGAUAUUGCACAAUGGGCGAAAGCCUGAUGCAGCGACGCCGCGUGGGGGAUGAAGGCUUUCGGGUUGUAAACCUCUUUCGCUAUCGAACAAGGCCCGCUUAGGGUGGGUUGAGGGUAGGUGGAGAAGAAGCGCCGGCUAACCACGUGCCAGCAGCCGCGGUAAUACGUAGGGCGCGAGCGUUGUCCGGAAUUAUUGGGCGUAAAGGGCUUGUAGGCGGCUUGUUGCGCCUGCUGUGAAAACGCGGGGCUUAACUUCGCGCGUGCAGUGGGUACGGGCAGGCUUGAGUGUGGUAGGGGUGACUGGAAUUCCAGGUGUAGCGGUGGAAUGCGCAGAUAUCUGGUGGAACACCGAUGGCGAAGGCAGGUCACUGGGCCAUUACUGACGCUGAGGAGCGAAAGCAUGGGUAGCGAACAGG
rnacentral:rRNA from 1 species